rnacentral:rRNA from 1 species
GGUUGACCUCGGAUCAGGUAGGGAUACCCGCUGAACUUAAGCAUAUCAAUAAGCGGAAGG